rnacentral:rRNA from 1 species
UACGUAGGGGGCUAGCGUUAUCCGGAAUUACUGGGCGUAAAGGGUGCGUAGGUGGUUUCUUAAGUCAGAGGUGAAAGGCUACGGCUCAACCGUAGUAAGCCUUUGAAACUGGGGAACUUGAGUGCAGGAGAGGAGAGUGGAAUUCCUAGUGUAGCGGUGAAAUGCGUAGAUAUUAGGAGGAACACCAGUUGCGAAGGCGGCUCUCUGGACUGUAACUGACACUGAGGCACGAAAACGUGGGGAGCAAACAGG